UACGUAGGGGGCAAGCGUUGUCCGGAUUCAUUGGGCGUAAAGGGUGCGUAGGCGGCGCGGUAAGUCGGGUGUGAAAUUUCGAGGCUUAACUUCGAAACUGUAUUCGAUACUGCCGUGCUUGAGGACUGGAGAGGAGACUGGAAUUUACGGUGUAGCGGUGAAAUGCGUAGAUAUCGUAAGGAAGACCAGUGGCGAAAGGCGGGUCUCUGGACAGUUCCUGACGCUGAGGCACGAAGGUCAGGGAGCAAACGGG
rnacentral:rRNA from 1 species